CUUCUCUCUCUGUCUCUCUGUCUCUUUUCUCUUUCCUUCUCCCUUCCCUCCUCUUUCUAAUAAAACCUCUCACUAAGCUCUGUCUUCCUGGCAUGUUUGUCCCCCGUCUUGGUCACCCUGGACUGCCAUGGAAUCCAUGAAAGGUCCCCCUCAAGCUUUAUCAUAACCACCACUAGAAGGACAAGGUCAGCCUUUGGGUCUCAAGGACAACAAGACUCUGCAACAGGGAGCCUGGGUGUCAGCAGCACUAAGUGUCAGGGACCCAAAACCAAUCAUCACUAAUUUUGAGACCAGAGAGAGAGGAGAGAGGAAGGAGAGAGAGAGCCCCAAUCUUCACUGCCUUCCGGUUCCGGCCACACCUGAAGCCACGCCCAAAGGGGUGUGGCCACUCACAAAUACACUACAAAGGGCAUCAAGAUUGCCUGUGUGGAGGUGACGUGGCAACUGUCAGAAGGGGCCCUAAAAUGUCAGUUCUGUCACACAGUCACGUGACCAGUGGAAGAGGACAGCAGCCCUGGAGCCUGAGAGGCGCUGGGUAGUGCACCCCACUCUAAUGGGUGUGAACUCAGCGG
rnacentral:lncRNA from 1 species